UCACGGUUUGCACCGGCAGUCUCGUUAGAGUUCCCGACAUGACUCGCUGGCAACUAACGACAGGGGUUGCGCUCGUUAUAGGACUUAACCUGACACCUCACGGCACGAGCUGACGACAACCAUGCAGCACCUUGUAAGUUGUCCGAAGAAAAACCUGUUUCCAAGCCUGUCAACCUACAUUUAAGCCCUGGUAAGGUUCCUCGCGUAUCAUCGAAUUAAACCACAUGCUCCACCGCUUGUGCGGGCCCCCGUCAAUUCCUUUGAGUUUCAAACUUGCGUUCGUACUCCCCAGGUGGGAUACUUAUCACUUUCGCUUAGCCACUCAGAAUUGCUUCCGAACAGCUAGUAUCCAUCGUUUACGGCGUGGACUAC
rnacentral:misc_RNA from 1 species